GCCGCAAAACGCCCGGACUUGGACAGAACGCCAUGGAUAACCCAUUGAUAGAUCGUGGCCGCGACUGUUUCGUAAUCAGUAGGUCCGCGGUUCAAAUCCGCGUUGCGGCACCA
rnacentral:tRNA from 1 species